rnacentral:rRNA from 1 species
AGAAUCAACGCUGGCGGCGUGCCUAACACAUGCAAGUCGAACGAGAAAGUGGAGCAAUCCAUGAGUAAAGUGGCGCACGGGUGAGUAACACGUGACUAACCUACCCUUGAGUGGGGAAUAACCUCGGGAAACCGGGCUAAUACCGCAUAACACCUACGGGUCAAAGGAGCAAUUCGCUUAAGGAGGGGGUCGCGGCAGAUUAGUUAGUUGGCGGGGUAAUGGCCCACCAAGACGGUGAUCUGUAU